rnacentral:tRNA from 1 species
GGACCUGUAGUUGAUAAACAACAUUAAAUUGCAAAUUUAAAAGAGUACUUGGUGCCAGAUCCU